rnacentral:rRNA from 1 species
UGGGGAAUCUUGGACAAUGGGGGCAACCCUGAUCCAGCCAUGCCGCGUGAGUGAUGAAGGCCUUAGGGUCGUAAAGCUCUUUCGCCUGUGAAGAUAAUGACGGUAGCAGGUAAAGAAACCCCGGCUAACUCCGUGCCAGCAGCCGCGGUAAUACGGAGGGGGUUAGCGUUGUUCGGAAUUACUGGGCGUAAAGCGCACGUAGGCGGACCAGAAAGUUGGGGGUGAAAUCCCGGGGGCUCAACCCCGGAACUGCCUCCAAAACUAUUGGUCUAGAGUUCGAGAGAGGUGAGUGGAAUUCCAAGUGUAGAGGUGAAAUUCGUAGAUAUUUGGAGGAACACCAGUGGCGAAGGCGGCUCACUGGCUCGAUACUGACGCUGAGGUGCGAAAGUGUGGGGAGCAAAACAGGAUUAGAUACCCUGGUAGUCCACACCGUAAAACGAUGAAUGCCAGUCGUCGGGUAGCAUGCUAUUCGGUGACACACCUAACGGAUUAAGCAUUCCGCCUGGGGAGUACGUCGCAAGAUUAAAACUCAAAUGAAUUG